rnacentral:tRNA from 1 species
GUUAAAGUGGCAGAAAUAGUGCAAUAGAGUUAAGUUCUAUAGAUGGACUUAAGUAGUCCCUUUAGCU